rnacentral:rRNA from 1 species
GACGAACGCUGGCGGCGUGCUUAACACAUGCAAGUCGAACGGAAAGGCCCUGCUUUUGUGGGGUGCUCGAGUGGCGAACGGGUGAGUAACACGUGAGUAACCUGCCCUUGACUUUGGGAUAACUUCAGGAAACUGGGGCUAAUACCGGAUAGGAGCUCCUGCUGCAUGGUGGGGGUUGGAAAGUUUCGGCGGUUGGGGAUGGACUCGCGGCUUAUCAGCUUGUUGGUGGGGUAGUGGCUUACCAAGGCUUUGACGGGUAGCCGGCCUGGGAGGGUGACCGGCCACAGUGGGACUGGGGUAGGGCCCAGACGCCUACGGGAGGCAGCAGUGGGGAAUAUUGCACAAUGGGCGGAAGCCGGAUGCAGCAACGCCGCGUGCGGGAUGACGGCCUUCGGGUUGUAAACCGCUUUCACCUGUGACGAAGCGUGAGUGACGGUAAUGGGUAAAGAAGCACCGGCUAACUACGU